rnacentral:rRNA from 1 species
UACGGGGGGGGCAAGCGUUGUUCGGAAUCACUGGGCGUAAAGCGCUCGUAGGCGGAUCUUUAAGUCAGAGGUGAAAUCCCAAGGCUCAACCUUGGAACUGCCUUUGAUACUGGGGAUCUCGAGUCCGGGAGAGGUGAGUGGAACUGCGAGUGUAGAGGUGAAAUUCGUAGAUAUUCGCAAGAACACCAGUGGCGAAGGCGGCUCACUGGCCCGGUACUGACGCUGAGGAGCGAAAGCGUGGGGAGCAAACAGG